rnacentral:rRNA from 1 species
UACGGAGGGUGCAAGCGUUAUCCGGAUUCACUGGGUUUAAAGGGUGCGUAGGUGGGCAGGUAAGUCAGUGGUGAAAUCUUUGGGCUUAACCCGAAAACUGCCAUUGAUACUAUUUGUCUUGAAUAUUGUGGAGGUCAGCGGAAUAUGUCAUGUAGCGGUGAAAUGCUUAGAUAUGACAUAGAACACCACUUGCGAAGGCAGCUGGCUACGCAUAUAUUGACACUGAGGCACGAAAGCGUGGGGAUCAAACAGG